GAUGAAGAACGCAGCGAAAUGCGAUAAGUAAUGUGAAUUGCAGAAUUCAGUGAAUCAUCGAAUCCUUGAACGCACCUUGCACCCUUUGGCAUUCCGAAGGGUAUGCUCGUUUGAGUGUCAUUGUACUCUCACACUUCUGAUCCUUUGGAUUGGGAGCGGUGGACUUGGGUGUUGCUGCUUUACUGUGGCUCACCUCAAAUGCAUUCGUGCAACUCUUGGUUGGACAUAGUACGGCGUGAUAAGUAUCUUCGCCGGCACCUCGCAAGAGGGUGGCUGAUCAGGAGCUCUGUGCUUUCCAACUGUCUUCAGACAACAACUGACAACUUGACCUCAAAUCGAGUAGGACCACCCGCUGAACUUAAGCAUAUCAAUAAGCGGAGGA
rnacentral:misc_RNA from 1 species